rnacentral:rRNA from 1 species
CCUACGGGCGGCAGCAGUCGAGAAUCAUUCACAAUGGGGGAAACCCUGAUGGUGCGACGCCGCGUGGGGGAAUGAAGGUCUUCGGAUUGUAAACCCCUGUCAUGUGGGAGCAAAUUAAAAAGAUAGUACCACAAGAGGAAGAGACGGCUAACUCUGUGCCAGCAGCCGCGGUAAUACAGAGGUCUCAAGCGUUGUUCGGAAUCACUGGGCGGAAAGCGUGCGUAGGCUGUUUCGUAAGUCGUGUGUGAAAGGCGCGGGCUCAACCCGCGGACGGCACAUGAUACUGCGAGACUAGAGUAAUGGAGGGGGAACCGGAAUUCGCGGUGUAGCAGUGAAAUGCGUAGAUAUCGAGAGGAACACUCGUGGCGAAGGCGGGUUCCUGGACAUUAACUGACGCUGAGGCACGAAGGCCAGGGGAGCGAAAGGGAUUAGAUACCCGGGUAGUC